rnacentral:misc_RNA from 1 species
CGCCGAAGGUGGGGCUAAUGACUGGGGUGAAGUCGUAACAAGGUAGCCGUACCGGAAGGUGCGGCUGGAUCACCUCCUAACAGGGAGACAACAAAAUGUUUAAUAUUAUUAUUUUGUCACCUUAGGUCGAUCGGUAUCUCACGUUUUUAAUUUAUUAAGAAUUUCAUUUCCUAAGUUUUUCUAGGUCACACCCAUUAUUUUUCCUGGGCCAUUAGCUCAGGUGGUUAGAGCGCACCCCUGAUAAGGGUGAGGUCCCUGGUUCAAGUCCAGGAUGGCCCAUAUCUCUAUGUUGGGGGUAUAGCUCAGUUGGUAGAGCGCCUGCUUUGCAAGCAGGAUGUCAGCGGUUCGAGUCCGCUUACCUCCACUGAUUACCACCUCUUCCAUAACCGGUAGAAAGGAAAUGUUUUGAGUUGUGAUCAAAUCCUGAAAGAAUCUAGCUUCCUAAUGAAAUCAUUAAGAUGCUGGACUCAUUGAAUUAAUUUCAUUGUUUUCAGAGAACCUUGACAACUGCAUAGAUUAUUUUUAAAGACAAUAAGCAUCUUUAAUGAUGCAGAUUUAUUAUUUGUGCGAAUGCAUUAAUAACAAUUCUAUUAAGCUGAUGCUUCAAUUUUUGAAGUUAUUGGUCAAGCUACAAAGGGCUCACGGAGGAUACCUAGGCACACAGAG